AACGCCCAUGCAUCCUUCCAAUGGCACAACUUGUUCUGUCCCUGACUUCUCUCUUUCUAGCCUCUAAUCUUUAAAUGAUCUCAUGAAACUGGUGUGUAACUUCCUACAGAAUCCAACGAAGCCAAGCCCAGAGCUAUUAAAGAGACUUGAAGCAAGUGUGGAAACAGAUCAUGCUUCUCACAUUAAUUCCUUUCCUCAUUGUGAAACUUUCAGAGCUAUUCGAUUCACGAUCUUGGAGACACUAUUGUUCUAAUGACGCUGAUGGCUGAUAGUUUCCACUUCUGCAACUCUUUUGCUUUUGGCUCUUUCGCUUUUGGAUACGAGUGGACUAAAGAAUAGCUUGGAUAAGCGAGGAUUUAGCUCAUGUCCGAAGUGAAAAAGAAACUGCAGAGAGAUAUUCGCUUGAACGCAUUCUGCAAGAUGGACAACUCACUAGGGAAAGCUUGAAAAAGUAAACCACUGAUCGAUUGUUUUGCUCUGGUUCUUGCUUUGGUUUUUAAUAGAAAACUAACUGACUUUUUACAGGCUAAGGGAAUCACUUGCGCUGCGGCAGCUGUUGCUCCGAGUCUGAAGGUGGGAAAGCAGAACAAAAGUGUUGGUUAGAAACAUAAAUAACGCUUUGUCUAGAAACCUAAAGAACGCUUUGUCUCUUCACUUCUGUGCCAAAAAAAGAAAAGCAAGAAACAGCAUCUCUCACAUUUUCACAGAUCUACAGGGAUGUUACAUUCAACAAUUUGAUGGGGAUGUCGAGAAUCUUAGUGAUAGUGUACGCCAAAAGAUUGACAUGGAAUUGUUCAACAGAGAAAAUCUUGAUUUUGUUUCCCUGCUUCUUCCUUUGUAUCAUAUCCCUUCAAUCAUUGUCUUUACUACAUUUCAAUGUCUCACAUUGUAAAAGGAAAAAUGUACAGAGAAGAUAAAAU